CUCGGCCGAUCCUCCCACCCUUUGUGUACCUACCUCUGUUGCUUUGGCGGGCCGCGGUCCUCCGCGGCCGCCCCCCUCCCCGGGGGGGUGGCCAGCGCCCGCCAGAGGACCAUCAAACUCCAGUCAGUAAACGAUGCAGUCUGAAAAACAUUUAAUAAACUAAAACUUUCAACAACGGAUCUCUUGGUUCUGGCAUCGAUGAAGAACGCAGCGAAAUGCGAUAAGUAAUGUGAAUUGCAGAAUUCAGUGAAUCAUCGAAUCUUUGAACGCACAUUGCGCCCUUUGGUAUUCCGAAGGGCAUGCCUGUUCGAGCGUCAUUACAACCCUCAAGCUCUGCUUGGUAUUGGGCACCGUCCUUUGCGGGCGCGCCUCAAAGACCUCGGCGGUGGCGUCUUGCCUCAAGCGUAGUAGAACAUACAUCUCGCUUCGGAGCGCAGGGCGUCGCCCGCCGGACGAACCUUCUGAACUUUUCUCAAGGUUGACCUCGGAUCAGGUAGGGAUACCCGCUGAACUUAAGCAUAUCAUA
rnacentral:rRNA from 1 species